CGGCCUACGGGGGGCAGCAGUGAGGGAUAUUGGGCAAUGGGGGAAACCCUGACCCAGCGACGCCGCGUGAGGGAAGACGGUCUUCGGAUUGUAAACCUCUGUCUUUGGGGACGAAAAAGGACGGUACCCAAGGAGGAAGCUCCGGCUAACUACGUGCCAGCAGCCGCGGUAAUACGUAGGGAGCGAGCGUUGUCCGGAAUUACUGGGUGUAAAGGGUGCGUAGGCGGAUCGUUAAGUCAGUGGUCAAAUUGAGGGGCUCAACCCCUUCCCGCCAUUGAAACUGGCGCUCUUGAGUGGAAGAGAAG
rnacentral:rRNA from 1 species